CAACAGCGGCUGUAAAAUUAUAUACAGGCAAAACUGCGGACACCUAAGGUGACGCAAUCUCCGCGCGAGGUAGGGAGGGGCUCCGCGAGGACCCCAGCCGGAAGCUAUCACCUGGGAAGCGGAAGCCGUCGGGAGAGAAGUGGGGGCUGACGGUGACGGGUUUUCAGGCAAGACUGAGGACCUGAAGGGGAAGGUGACCUCCCAAAAGUCACAGAGUAAUUGGUAGAGUUGGACAAGAACCUAAGCCUGUAACUGAAGAGACCAGAGGUCUUUCUGUUAUACUUCUUGGGAAGCAGACGAUCUUUGCAAAUUAUCUUGUAGAAAAAAUGCCCAAAGUGAAAAGGAGCCGGAAAGCUCCCCCAGACGGUUGGGAGUUGAUCGAACCAACACUGGAUGAAUUGGAUCAAAAGAUGAGAGAAGGUAAGUAAGUGGGGGAGUUUCU